UCAGUCUUCAGACUUCACUAUAUCCUUUGGGCUGGGAACAAUCUCAUCAGAGAUGAAAAUGGCAAUUAGCAGAAACUUCACAAAAAUAUGGAAAAAACAUUUUAGUCUUAUAUCGCCGUCGGUAUACUCACUUUUUUUGGUAGUGCUUGAAAAGAUGCUGGAAUCUGACUUUAAAUGCCCAGAAGAGCUGCAUUUGAGACGUUCGUACAUCAUCUUACUUUUCAUUAUGCCAGCAGUGCUGUUUUUUAUAUUAGGCAUAAUUUUGCAGCCAGAGUGUCUACAUCCUUCUGUUAGAAAAAAAGAAUUCUACUACUUUUACAACAAAUGCAAAAGGCACAACAAAUGCAAAAGUGACUCUAUAGAUAAGCACAAGUUUAGUAGCUGCUGGUGUGUUUUGUUAAAGGCUUCUUUUCCUGCUGUCUUGUGGAUAGUGAUCCUUCUUCUGGAUGGAAGAUAUACUGACUGCUUCAGUGAGAACAUCACAGAGUAUCAGAUUUUCCAGCUCUUGGGACUCGUUAUCAUAUUCGCUGCUGUCUGUAUUGGUUCAAUAUGCAACUGCUGCUGCAAGAAGGGCUACAAAGAAAAGGUAGCAGUGGAUAAAGCUGAAAUCAAUCAACUAGAGCAAAAAGCUCGUGAGUAUAUGUUAAAACAGAAGGAAGAUGCUAUCCAGCAACGUGUAAAGGAUGAAUAUGGCCCGGAAAUAAUUUUAAUACCUACUGACAAUAAAAAGUUCUCUGAUAUAAUAAAUGAAGUUUGUAAAAUUUCAGGAGAAGGCAGCUCAGCUGACCAAGGAUCAAUAGGAACUGUCAGCAUUUCACCUCAAGGGACCUCCAGUCAGUCACCUCAAGAGACCUCCAGUGCUUUACANCAGUCACCUCAAGAGACCUCCAGUCCUUUACAUCAGGGAACCUCCAAUCUGUCACCUCAAAUGAUAUCAGAAAACACAAGUUGUUCAUGUGUGUGAGUUUUUCUGUAUUUUAAUAUGACACCACAGAAAGUCUGGUNGCUUUACAUCAGGGAACCUACAAUCUGUCACCUCAAGUGAUAUCAAAAAACAGAAGAUGUUCAAGUGUGUGAGUUUUUCUGUAUUUUAAUAUGACACCACAGAAAGUCUGGUAACUGAUUAACAUACCAGUAAUAACACCAAACCAUGACUACACAGCAACUGCAAUCUACUAAAUGCAUAAAAACCGAAGUGGAAAAUAAGGAAGGAGAUGCAUCCCCAGCAGUUCUGCUCCUCCAGCCUCCCCCUGCAGUUCUUGGCUUCCUCUUCCAGGCUGGGGGGGGGGCUGUAGUGGGUUCCCCUCCCCCAUUCCAGGCGGGAGAGGGUGGCUCCAGGGGCUGCCCACCCUCCUCUGCCAGGCUGAUGCUCCAGGGAGGGAAAGGCGGCAGAGCUAUCUUGUCCUGUUGUUCACAAGAGGGGAGAAGGAAAUGGCAGUGGAGCCACCUUGAACUGUUGGGCUCUUUAGUUCCCUCUUCCCCCUUCCCCUCCCAUGAGAAUGGUGUCUGGAUGUCGAGGGGGUGGAGACGGGGAGAGAGCUCUGAGCGCAAAGUGCCAG
ensembl:lncRNA